rnacentral:tRNA from 1 species
UAGCUUAACCAAAGCCUUUCGCCUACACCGAAAAGAAGUCUGUUAACCCCAAACUACUUCGA